AAUCUUGCGCAAUGGGCGAAAGCCUGACGCAGCCAUGCCGCGUGAGCGAAGAAGGCCUCCGGGUCGUAAAGCACUGUCCUAGGGGAAGAGACGGACGGUACCUGAGGAGGAAGCCCCGGCUAACUACGUGCCAGCAGCCGCGGUAAUACGUAGGGGGCGAGGGUUAUACGGAAUUAUUGGGCGUAAAGGGUGCGUAGGCGGCCUUUUAAGGCAGAUGUGAAAGGCUACGGCUUAACCGUAGUUAGCAUUUGAAACUAAAAGGCUUGAGUGCAGGAGAGGAGAGUGGAAUUCCUAGUGUAGCGGUGAAAUGCGUAGAUAUUAGGAGGAACACCAGUGGCGAAGGCGACUCUCUGGACUGCAACUGACGCUGAGGCACGAAAGCGUGGGGAGCGAACAG
rnacentral:rRNA from 1 species